rnacentral:rRNA from 1 species
AUUGAACGCUGGCGGCAGGCUUAACACAUGCAAGUCGAACGGUAACAGGAAGAAAGCUUGCUUUCUUUGCUGACGAGUGGCGGACGGGUGAGUAAUGCUUGGGAAUCUGGCUUAUGGAGGGGGAUAACUACGGGAAACUGUAGCUAAUACCGCGUAGUAUCGGAAGAUGAAAGUGUGGGACCGCAAGGCCACAUGCCAUGAGAUGAGCCCAAGUGGGAUUAGGUAGUUGGUUAGGUAAAGGCUGACCAAGCCGACGAUCUCUAGCUGGUCUGAGAGGAUGACCAGCCACACUGGAACUGAGACACGGUCCAGACUCCUACGGGAGGCAGCAGUGGGGAAUAUUGCACAAUGGGGGGAACCCUGAUGCAGCCAUGCCGCGUGAAUGAAGAAGGCCUUCGGGUUGUAAAGUUCUUUCGGUGAUGAGGAAGGUGUUUGUUUUAAUAGGACAAGCAAUUGACGUUAGUCACAGAAGAAGCACCGGCUAACUCCGUGCCAGCAGCCGCGGUAAUACGGAGGGUGCGAGCGUUAAUCGGAAUAACUGGGCGUAAAGGGCACGCAGGCGGUGACUUAAGUGAGAUGUGAAAGCCCCGAGCUUAACUUGGGAAUUGCAUUUCAUACUGGGUCGCUAGAGUACUUUAGGGAGGGG